rnacentral:tRNA from 1 species
GUUUAAGUAGCAAAGAAGUUUAAUGCAUUAGGCUUAGGUCCUACCAUCAAAGGUGCAACUCCUUUCUUAAACU